rnacentral:rRNA from 1 species
CCUACGGGAGGCAGCAGUGAGGAAUAUUGGUCAAUGGACGCAAGUCUGAACCAGCCACGCCGCGUGAAGGAUGAAGGUUCUAUGAGUUGUAAACUGCUUUUGUACGGGAGUAAAAUGCUCAACGUGUAGCGGGUUGUAUGUAACGUAAGAAUAAGGAUCGGCUAACUCCGUGCCCGCAGCCGCGGUAAUACGGAGGAUCCGAGCGUUAUCCGGAUUUAUUGGGUUUAAAGGGUGCGUAGGCGGUUUGUUAAGUUAGGGGUGAAAGGUCGGGGCUCAACCCCUAAACUGCAUUUGAUACUGGUAGACUUGAGAAUAGUAGAGGAGGGCGGAAUGCAUGGUGUAGCGGUGAAAUGCUUAGAUAU